GGGCCAGUCAGACUGCGCCCGACAGGUGAUGGGGAGCGGCGGCCGGGCUGGGCAGCCGCCGGGUGGGCGAGCUGGCGCGGGGUACCUGUUGACUUGGGAAGGGCCAGGAUCGCGAUCAAUGGAGGUGAAGUGAAAUCUGCAAGAGUCCUGCUCGUUCAAGGCCUGCAUACAGGAAAGAAGCAGGGGAAAAGCGUUAGAAACAGCUUUUGUUCUACAGCAUUUUAAAAUAUAAUAGGUAUAUUGAAAAGUCUGAUUCAGUUACAAUCAGUGUAUGGAAUCACAAGAAGAUCCAUAAGAAACAAGGUGCUGGAUUUCUCCGUUGUGUUCGUCUUUUUCCAGUGCCAUCAACCACCUCAAAGACACUGGUUAUCAGAGGUUGGAUUUAUGCAAACUUGGGCCAAAGGACAGUUAGAAGACAGUAGCUGAAGAAGCAUCUGUAGGGAAUCCAGAAGGAGCAUUCAUGAAGAUGUUACAAGCCCGGAAGCAGCACAUGAGCACUGAGCUGACUAUUGAGUCGGAGGCGCCCUCAGACAGCAGUGGCAUCAACUUGUCAGGCUUUGGGAGUGAGCAGCUAGACACCAAUGACGAGAGUGAUGUUAGCAGCGCACUAAGUUACAUCUUGCCUUAUCUCUCACUGAGAAAUCUAGGUGAUCAGCUUGAAAUUCAGCUAACCGAGCAGCUACGGUCCCUCAUCCCCAACGAGGAUGUGAGAAAGUUCAUGUCUCAUGUUAUCUGGACCUUGAAAAUGGAAUGUUCAGAAACACAUGUGCAAGGGAGCUGUGCCAAGCUCAUGUCGCGAACAGGCCUCCUGAUGAAGCUUCUCAGCGAGCAGCAGGAAGCAAAGGCAUUGAAUGUAGAAUGGGAUACGGACCAACAAAAAACAAAUUAUAUUAAUGAGAACAUGGAACAGAAUGAACAGAAAGAGCAGAAGUCAAGUGAGCUCAUGAAAGAAGUUCCAGGAUAUGACUAUAAGAACAAACUCAUCUUCGCAAUAUCUGUGACUGUCAUACUAAUAAUUUUGAUUAUAAUUUUUUGUUUUAUAGAGGUAAAGACAAUAAUUAAUUCAGGUUUUCAAAAUACAAUCCUGUGUUUGUGUGGAUUCAGAAUCCACAAACUGAAAACCAACGUCACUUUCCCACUUGACAUUCUUCUUCUGUCAUUUAAGGCUGAGGUGUGCUUUGUUCUUUUACUGCAAUGUAUAUUCCAGGAUUGUUAAAGGAUCCUCGCUUCCAGGAGGUCUCUGUGAAAUAAAACCAAGUUAAUCCCACUAGAC
ensembl:lncRNA novel transcript